rnacentral:rRNA from 1 species
GCCUACGGGGGGCAGCAGUGAGGAAUAUUGCGCAAUGGGGGCAACCCUGACGCAGCAACGCCGCGUGAGUGAGGAAGGUUUUCGGACCGUAAAGCUCUGUCGAGCGGGAAGAAAUGCAUGGUGGCUAAUAUCCAUCAUGCUUGACGGUACCGCUAAAGGAAGCACCGGCUAACUCCGUGCCAGCAGCCGCGGUAAUACGGGGGGUGCAAGCGUUGUUCGGAAUUAUUGGGCGUAAAGAGCGUGUAGGCGGCUGGAUAAGUCAGAUGUGAAAUCCCUGGGCUUAACUCAGGAAGUGCAUUUGAAACUAUCCAGCUUGAGUAAGGGAGAGGAAAGUGGAAUUCCUGGUGUAGAGGUGAAAUUCGUAGAUAUCAGGAGGAACACCGGUGGCGAAGGCGACUUUCUGGCCCUAUACUGACGCUGAGACGCGAGAGCGUGGGUAGCAAACAGGAUUAGAUACCCCAGUAGUCACC